ensembl:snRNA U6 U6 spliceosomal RNA
AUGCUCACUUUGGCAGCACUUAUACUAAAAUUGAAUUAAUACAGAGAAGAUUAGCAUGGCGCAUGUGCAAGGAUGACAUGUGAAUUCGUGAUAUGUUCCAUAUUUUU